rfam:Dipodomys ordii contig_51484, whole genome shotgun sequence.
GGUGGCUCAGUGGUAGAGUGCUUGCAUUGUAUGCAUGAGGCCCUGAGUUCGAUUCCUUAGCACCA